rnacentral:rRNA from 1 species
GAUGAACGCUAGCGGCAGGCCUAAUACAUGCAAGUCGAACGAUAUUUUCCAGCUUGCUGGGAGAGAAAGUGGCGCACGGGUGCGUAACGCGUAUGCAACCUACCUUUAUCAGGGGGAUAGCCCGGAGAAAUCCGGAUUAAUACCGCAUAAAAUCACAGGAUGGCAUUAUCCAAUGAUCAAACAUUUAUGGGAUAAAGAUGGGCAUGCGUGUCAUUAGCUGGUUGGCGGGGUAACGGCCCACCAAGGCGACGAUGACUAGGGGAUCUGAGAGGAUGACCCCCCACACUGGUACUGAGACACGGACCAGACUCCUACGGGAGGCAGCAGUAAGGAAUAUUGGUCAAUGGGCGCAAGCCUGAACCAGCCAUGCCGCGUGCAGGAUGACUGCCCUAUGGGUUGUAAACUGCUUUUACCCGGGAAAAAACCUACUUACGAGUAAGUAGCUGAAUGUACCGGGGGAAUAAGGAUCGGCUAACUCCGUGCCAGCAGCCGCGGUAA